GACGAACGCUGGCGGCGUGCUUAACACAUGCAAGUCGAACGGAAAGGCCCUGCUUUUGUGGGGUGCUCGAGUGGCGAACGGGUGAGUAACACGUGAGUAACCUGCCCUUGACUUUGGGAUAACUUCAGGAAACUGGGGCUAAUACCGGAUAGGAGCUCCUGCUGCAUGGAGGGGGUUGGAAAGUUUCGGCGGUUGGGGAUGGACUCGCGGCUUAUCAGCUUGUUGGUGGGGUAGUGGCUUACCAAGGCUUUGACGGGUAGCCGGCCUGAGAGGGUGACCGGCCACAUUGGGACUGAGAUACGGCCCAGACUCCUACGGGAGGCAGCAGUGGGGAAUAUGGCGCAAGGGGCGGAAGCCUGAUGCAGCAACGCCGCGUGCGGGAUGACGGCCUUCGGGUUGUAAACCGCUUUCGCCUGUGACGAAGCGUGAGUGACGGUAAUGGGGAAAGAAGCACCGGCUAACUACGU
rnacentral:rRNA from 1 species